AUGGCCAUGCCAUGACCACGAGCUGGCCGGUCAAAUCUUUCAUCACUUGGCCAAGAUGGAAACCGCAUGCCGCACGCCGUGCGCGAGUUGGAAGGAUCUGGAUUAGAUGGAAAGAGCAGGUCAUCGAUUGUCUGGUCCUGUUCGGUUAUUACUAGCAGUACUGAAAAAUUUUGAUAUAAAAUAUGUAACGUGAACCUAUAAAUUUUCAGUAUUUCCAGACUUCCAGUAAUAACCGAACAGAACCUCUGUAUUACGCAAUGUAACGAAAAUUUAUAAAAAUGAGCAAAUUUAAUAAAAUAUCUAUGAUCUUUAUUAAUUAACAACUAGUACUCACUUUUGUAAUUUUCACUACAUUGCACAAUCGACCUCUAAAAGUUAGGAUGAACAGAUUAUUCGAAGUGCUUCUAUAUAUAGGCAACAGAUAUUUUAAAAGGUGAAGGAGAAAGUUACAUACUAGAAAAGUCUGUUUUUUGUUCCGGAGACUGCCACACAAUUGGAAAUGUUUCAGAGAUCAUGUGUGUCUUCCAGAUAUAAGUUUAUGAUUAAUUAUAAGAUAUAAUAUAAGAAUUAAAUAUUAAAAUUAUAUGGC